rnacentral:rRNA from 1 species
UACGUAGGGUGCAAGCGUUGUCCGGAAUUAUUGGGCGUAAAGAGCUCGUAGGCGGCUUGUCGCGUCGACCGUGAAAACUUGUGGCUCAACCAUGAGCUGGCGGUCGAUACGGGCAGGCUGGAGUUCGGUAGGGGAGACUGGAAUUCCUGGUGUAGCGGUGAAAUGCGCAGAUAUCAGGAGGAACACCGGUGGCGAAGGCGGGUCUCUGGGCCGAUACUGACGCUGAGGAGCGAAAGCGUGGGGAGCGAACAGG